rnacentral:rRNA from 1 species
AUGCACGCUGGCGGCGUGCCUCAUCCAUGCAAGUCGAGCGAACGGACGAGAAGCUUGCUUCUCUGAUGUUAGCGGCGGACGGGUGAGUAACACGUGGAUAACCUACCUAUAAGACUGGGAUAACUUCGGGAAACCGGAGCUAAUACCGGAUGAUAUUUUGAACCGCAUGGUUCAAAAGUGAAAGACGGUCUUGCUGUCACUUAUAGAUGGAUCCGCGCUGCAUUAGCUAGUUGGUAAGGUAAUGGCUUACCAAGGCAACGAUGCAUAGCCGACCUGAGAGGGUGAUCGGCCACACUGGAACUGAGACACGGUCCAGACUCCUACGGGAGGCAGCAGUAGGGAAUCUUCCGCAAUGGGCGAAAGCCUGACGGAGCAACGCCGCGUGAGUGAUGAAGGUCUUCGGAUCGUAAAACUCUGUUAUUAGGGAAGAACAUAUGUGUAAGUAACUGUGCACAUCUUGACGGUACCUAAUCAGAAAGCCACGGCUAACUACGUG